UGUUAAAUUGUUGAUUAUUUUUCCUGUCCUCCUUCUGUCAGCAUUUUAUAUAUAUUGAAGUUAAGUCUAUCUCUUUGUUUUCUGAAUGUUUUAUUCCUAGUGUUUUUGUGGGUAGUUGCCGAAGCAUCAUCGUUAGGCAUGAUUCUAUUAAAUAGAGAUGAUUCUAUAUGUGUCAUCGACCCCGUUGGUGGGGCUCUGGUGUUUUUGUGGUUAUUAUCUGUAUGGAGCCACACGUAGCUGUGAUGCAGUUUGUAAAGGAUGCUCCAAUUAAGGAUGCUCUGGUUUUUGUUGAAUGAUUUAAAUAGGUUUUCCAUUAGAUAGUGUUAUAUUUAAGGGGUUUCAUUGUUGUGACA